AGGUAAAUAGAUGGCUGUUGGGUCAGGGCUCUGAGAGGUUAGGAGGUAAAUAGAUGGCUGUUGGGUCAGGGCUCUGAGAGGUUAGGAGGUAAAUAGAUGGCUGUUGGGUCAGGGCUCUGAGAGGUUAGGAGGUAAAUAGAUGGCUGUUGGGUCAGGGCUCUGAGAGGUUAGGAGGUAAAUAGAUGGCUGUUGGGUCAGGGCUCUGAGAGGUUAGGAGGUAAAUAGAUGGCUGUUGGGUCAGGGCUCUGAGAGGUUAGGAGGUAAAUAGAUGGCUGUUGGGUCAGGGCUCUGAGAGGUUAGGAGGUAAAUAGAUGGCUGUUGGGUCAGGGCUCUGAGAGGUUAGGAGGUAAAUAGAUGGCUGUUGGGUCAGGGCUCUGAGAGGUUAGGAGGUAAAUAGAUGGCUGUUGGGUCAGGGCUCUGAGAGGUUAGGGGGUAAAUAGAUGGCUGUUGGGUCAGGGCUCUGAGAGGUUAGGAGGUAAAUAGAUGGCUGUUGGGUCAGGGCUCUGAGAGGUUAGGAGGUAAAUAGAUGGCUGUUGGGUCAGGGCUCUGAGAGGUUAGGAGGUAAAUAGAUGGCUGUUGGGUCAGGGCUCUGAGAGGUUAGGAGGUAAAUAGAUGGCUGUUGGGUCAGGGCUCUGAGAGGUUAGGAGGUAAAUAGAUGGCUGUUGGGUCAGGGCUCUGAGAGGUUAGGAGGUAAAUAGAUGGCUGUUGGGUCAGGGCUCUGAGAGGUUAGGAGGUAAAUAGAUGGCUGUUGGGUCAGGGCUCUGAGAGGUUAGGAGGUAAAUAGAUGGCUGUUGGGUCAGGGCUCUGAGAGGUUAGGAGGUAAAUAGAUGGCUGUUGGGUCAGGGCUCUGAGAGGUUAGGAGGUAAAUAGAUGGCUGUUGGGUCAGGGCUCUGAGAGGUUAGGAGGUAAAUAGAUGGCUGUUGGGUCAGGGCUCUGAGAGGUUAGGAGGUAAAUAGAUGGCUGUUGGGUCAGGGCUCUGAGAGGUUAGGAGGUAAAUAGAUGGCUGUUGGGUCAGGGCUCUGAGAGGUUAGGAGGUAAAUAGAUGGCUGUUGGGUCAGGGCUCUGAGAGGUUAGGAGGUAAAUAGAUGGCUGUUGGGUCAGGGCUCAGAGGUUUGGAGGUAAAUAGAUGGCUGUUGGGUCAGGGCUCUGAGAGGUUUGGAGGUGUGAAGAGCUUAAUUUCUAUUCAAUUAUGUAUUUUCAAUGUUGGAAAGGCUGUGUAAAUGUGUUACCUUUUUGUGCAUAAAAUUGCUACACUAAUUGUCUGUGUUUUUUGUCCGUCAGCCACUCUAGACACAUUCUGUCUCUAUCAGCUUUUCAGUUGCAGUCAGAGUC